rnacentral:rRNA from 1 species
CCUACGGGUGGCAGCAGUGAGGAAUAUUGGUCAAUGGGCUUACGCCUGAACCAGCCAAGUCGCGUGAGGGAAGACUGCCCUAUGGGUUGUAAACCUCUUUUGUCAGGGAGCAACGCCGGCUACGUGUAGCCGGACUGAGAGUACCUGAAGAAAAAGCAUCGGCUAACUCCGUGCCAGCAGCCGCGGUAAUACGUAGGGGGCAAGCGUUAUCCGGAUUUACUGGGUGUAAAGGGAGCGUAGACGGCAAGGCAAGUCUGGAGUGAAAGCCCGUGGCCCAACCACGGGACUGCUUUGGAAACUGUGUUGCUGGAGUGCAGGAGGGGUAAGCGGAAUUCCUAGUGUAGCGGUGAAAUGCGUAGAUAUUAGGAGGAACACCGGUGGCGAAGGCGGCUUACUGGACUGUAACUGACGUUGAGGCUCGAAGGCGUGGGGAGCAAACAGGAUUAGAUACCCGAGUAGUC